rnacentral:rRNA from 1 species
GUUGGAGGCUAACGCAGGGAACUGAAACAUCUUAGUACCUGCAGGAAAAGAAAAUAAAUAAUGAUUCCCCUAGUAGUGGCGAGCGAACGGGGAUUAGCCCAAACCACCCAUGUUACGGCAUGUGUGGGGUUGUAGGACCACGCUCUCGCAAGACAGUUAUUGAGAAGAAACGACUGGAAAGUCGUGCCAUAGACGGUGAUAGCCCGGUAUUCUAAGGUAACCGAAGCGUAGUGGUAUCCUGAGUAGCGCGGAGCACGAGGAAUUCUGCGUGAAUCAGCCGGGACCAUCCGGUAAGGCUAAAUACUCCCGAGAGACCGAUAGCGAACCAGUACUGUGAAGGAAAGGUGAAAAGCACUUCGAAUAGAAGAGUGAAAUAGUCCCUGAAACCAUGCGCCUACAAGCGGUCGGAGCAGCUUCAGCUGUGACGGCGUGCCUUUUGCAUAAUGAACCUACGAGUUACUUUUUCCGGCAAGGUUAAGCAUCUUGAGAUGUGGAUCCGAAGCGAAAGCGAGUCUGAACAGGGCGGAUAGUCGGAAGGAGUAGACGCGAAACCAAGUGAUCUACCCUUGGGCAGGUUGAAGGUUAGGUAACACUAACUGGAGGACCGAACCGAUAAGCGUUGAAAAGCUUCCGGAUGACCUGAGGGUGGGGGUGAAAGGCUAAUCAAACUUGGAGAUAGCUCGUACUCCCCGAAAUGCAUUUAGGUGCAGCCUUGAGAGUUACUAAUGUGAGGUAGAGCGACUGAUAAGAUGCGAGGGCUUCACCGCCUAUCAAGUCUUGAUAAACUCCGAAUGCGCAUUAGUUCUAUCUCAGGAGUGAGGGCAUGGGUGCUAAGGUCCAUGUCCUAAAGGAGAAGAAUCCAGACCAUCAGCUAAGGUCCCCAAAUAAACACUAAGUUGAACUAACGAAGUCAGAUUGCUAAGACAGCUAGGAUGUUGGCUUGGAAGCAGCCAUUCAUUUAAAGAGUGCGUAACAGCUCACUAGUCGAGGAGUUUGGCGUGGAUAAUAAUCGGGCAUAAGUGUUUUACCGAAGCUAUGGGAUCCUAA